CAACUGUUGUAGAACAUUAUGUGCGGCACAGAACACACCACAAAGAGUUGCACCAUCUCUACAAUAGAAAACAAGAGAUCGAUGUACCACAUCGCUCAACUGAGACAUACUGAUCCUGCUGUUAUGUACCUUUUCUGGCAUGAAGUGCAGAACAUGAUACUUACAGGAACAGAGAUAGCAUUGAUGUAGUUCCCGCGCUUUCCUCCACUAAAGGAGAGAUAGAGACUGUAUUUGUCAACUGGAAAAAAAAUUAAAACAUUUGAUGUAGAAUCUUAGACGUCAUAAGGAUAUAGGAUGAACUUUAUGUAUUAUAUUUGCUCUACAUGUUGCCAAUUGAAUUCUUAAACAAAUUAGAUUGAAUGUUAACAUACGUAGACAAA